AGACAAGGAAGAACUGUUGGUGACAUUUAGCAUGAACCAAUGGCUUUUUGGCUACUAUGGAGAAGUUCUUCUCCCGACCGCCUUCCUCCGAAUUCUUCCAUUCGUCGACCGCGUUUUUUCUCCCGAACUCCUACAGGUAUUUGAUGAUCCUAAAGAAUUAACACAAGAUGAUUUGUAUGAUUUGCAACUCCUUUGGGCAAAAUGUUUCUUUGAGUUAUAUAAAGAUUAAGCUUUAUAUGCAAAUGUAAUUCUGGUGUUGUCUUCAGAAGCUACAACUCAUCUUCUCGUGGAUGCAUGUUGGUAUUUCAAGUGCACUAAAGGACUUAAAUGUUUGGAUAUUUAUUGUUUUGUUAUUUUG